UGCGGCUGGAUCCCCUCCUUUCUAAGGAUAUAUUCGGAACAUCUUCGUAGAAGAUGAGGAAUAACAUUGACAUAUUGUAUUCAGUUUUGAAUGUUUAUAUAACAUUCAACAUAUCUUCUUUUUCAAAGAAAGCGAUUCGUAGACAAUGCGUUGAGUUACUUUAAAGCGAAGUUUACUAGAGUAAAUGAGUAUUUAAAGUAAUGAUAACAAAACAGUAUGCAAACGCUUGACUGGAAAUAGAACUUGUACAUUGAAAACUAGAUAAGUAAGUAAAAUAGAUUUUACCAAGCAAAACCGAGUGAAUUAGAGUUUUAAAGCUUGAAUUCAUAAGAAAUAAUCGCUAGUGUUCGAAAGAACACUCACAAGAUUAAUAACGCGUUUCCUGUAGGAUGGAAACAUAGAUUAAGUUAUUAAGGGCGCACGGUGGAUGCCUUGGCACUAGAAGCCGAUGAAGGACGUUACUAACGACGAUAUGCUUUGGGGAGCUGUAAGUAAGCGUUGAUCCAGAGAUUUCCGAAUGGGGAAACCCGG
rnacentral:misc_RNA from 1 species